AAUUAAUAAAAUUGUUUUGUUAAAUUUUUGUUGAAUUAUUAUUAAUUAAGCAAAUAUAAGUUGAUGUAGAAUAAAUUGAUUGAAUUAUUUUUACUAUAGUAAAUUAGUACUGUGAAGGAAAUUUUAAUUAUUUAUUAUGAUUAAUAAAAGGUAAUUUAAUUUAUUGUAUCUUGUGUAUCAGAGUAUAUUUAAAUAGAAUUAUAAAUUUUUUCUUCUCGAAUUUGAAAGAUUUAAUUAAAAAUAUUAGUUAUUGUUUCAUAAAUAUUAAUAAUUUUUAAUUGGUAAUGAAAUGUUAUUCGUUUUUAAGGAUAUCUAGUUUUUUAAUAAAUGAAUUUAAUUCAGAAAAUAUAAUUUAUUGAAUAUUUUAUUAUUUAAAUAUUUUAUAUUUUUAAUUUUAAGGGGGAUAAACUCUUUAAAAUGUUAUUAUAAUAUUGUAAAGUGAUUAGGAUUUUAUAAAUUUAGAAUUUGUUAAUAGUUAAAGGAUGUUAAAAUUUAAUUCUUUAUUUUUAUUAAUUUUUAAUUGUUAUUUAAUUUUUAUAUUAAAAUAUUAAAUUUAAUUUGGAAAUUUCGGAAAGUAUGAUUUAAUUAGUAAAGUUUAAAGAUUAUUUUGUUCAUUUGGUUGAAUUGUUAAUAUAAAGAAUUAGGCAAAAAUUUUGCUCGCCUGUUUAUUAAAAACAUGGUUUCUUGUAAUUAUGUAAGAAAUCUAACCUGCCCACUGAAUAAGUUUUGAAGGGCCGCAGUAUUUUGACUGUGCAAAGGUAGCAUAAUCAUUAGUCUUUUAAUUGAAGGCUGGUAUGAAUGGUUGGAUGAGGUGAAUUCUGUUUUAUGUUAAUUUGAAUUGAAUUUAGAUUUUAAGUAAAAAGACUUAAAUAGAAUUAAGGGACGAGAAGACCCUAUAGAGUUUAAUAAAUGUAUUAAUUAAUUGAGUUAUAAAAAUAAUUUUUGAUUAUUAUAAAAUUUAUUUAGUUGGGGUGAUUGGAAGAUAAAAUUAACUCUUCUUUAUAUUUAAUAUUAUAAUUAGUUAUGUGAUCCAUAUUUAAUGAUUAAAAGAUUAAAUUACCUUAGGGAUAACAGCAUAAUUCUUUUUGAGAGUUCAUAUCGAAAAAAGAGAUUGUGACCUCGAUGUUGGAUUAAGAUUAGUUUUGGGUGCAGAUGUUCAAUAACUAGGUCUGUUCGACCUUGAAAUUCUUACAUGAUCUGAGUUUAAACCGGCGUGAGCCAGGUUGGUUUCUAUCUUUAAUUGAUUUAAAUAUUUUAGUACGAGAGGACCAAAUAUUUAAAAUAAUUUUUAUUUUUAAGGAAUUUUAUUAAUUGA
rnacentral:rRNA from 1 species